CGUUAAUCGGAAUUACUGGGCGUAAAGCGUGCGCAGGCGGUUUUGUAAGCCAGAUGUGAAAUCCCCGGGCUUAACCUGGGAAUGGCAUUUGGGACUGCAAGGCUGGAGUUUGGCAGAGGAGACUGGAAUUCCCGGUGUAGCAGUGAAAUGCGUAGAUAUCGGGAGGAAUACCGAUGGCGAAGGCAGGUCUCUGGGCUAUAACUGACGCUCAUGCACGAAAGCGUGGGGAGCAAACAGG
rnacentral:rRNA from 1 species